GAUGAACGCUGGCGGCGUGCCUAAUACAUGCAAGUCGAGCGAACGGACGAGAAGCUUGCUUUUCUGAUGUUAGCGGCGGACGGGUGAGUAACACGUGGAUAACCUACCUAUAAGACUGGGAUAACUUCGGGAAACCGGAGCUAAUACCGGAUAAUAUUUUGAACCGCAUGGUUCAAAAGUGAAAGACGGUCUUGCUGUCACUUAUAGAUGGAUCCGCGCUGCAUUAGCUAGUUGGUAAGGUAACGGCUUACCAAGGCAACGAUGCAUAGCCGACCUGAGAGAGAGAUCGACCACACUGGAACUGAGACACGGUCCAGGCUCAUACAGGAGGCAGCAGUAGGGAAGCAUCCGCAAUGGGCGAAAACCUAACGGAGCAACGCCACGUGAAUGAUGAAGGUCUUCGGAUCGUAGAACUAUGUUAAUAGGGAGGAACAUAUGUGUAAGUAACUGUGCACAACUUAACGGUACCUAAUCAAAGAAGCACGGCUAACUACGUG
rnacentral:rRNA from 1 species